rnacentral:rRNA from 1 species
GAUGAACGCUGACAGAAUGCUUAACACAUGCAAGUCUACUUGAAUUCACUUCGGUGAUAGUAAGGUGGCGGACGGGUGAGUAACACGUAAAGAACUUGCCUUACAGUCUGGGACAACUAUUGGAAACGAUAGCUAAUACCGGAUAUUAUGCGAGAGUCGCAUGGCUCUUGUAUGAAAGCUAUAUGCGCUGUAAGAGAGCUUUGCGUCCCAUUAGCUAGUUGGUGAGGUAACGGCUCACCAAGGCCACGAUGGGUAGCCGGCCUGAGAGGGUGAACGGCCACAAGGGGACUGAGACACGGCCCUUACUCCUACGGGAGGCAGCAGUGGGGAAUAUUGGACAAUGGACCCAAAAGUCUGAUCCAGCAAUUCUGUGUGCACGAUGACGGUCUUAGGAUUGUAAAGUGCUUUCAAUUGGGAAGAAAAAAAUGACGGUACCAAUAGAAGAAGCGACGGCUAAAUACGUGCCAGCAGCCGCGGUAAUACGUAUGUCGCAAGCGUUAUCCGGAUUUAUUGGGCGUAAAGCGCGUCUAGGUGGUUUGGUAAGUCUGAUGUGAAAAUGCGGGGCUCAACUCCGUAUUGCGUUGGAAACUGCCUAACUAGAGUAUCGGAGAGGUGGGCGGAACUACAAGUGUAGAGGUGAAAUUCGUAGAUAUUUGUAGGAAUGCCGAUAGAGAAGUCAGCUCACUGGACGAAUACUGACACUGAAGCGCGAAAGCAUGGGGAGCAAACAGGAUUAGAUACCCUGGUAGUCCAUGCUGUAAACGAUGAUUACUAAGCGUCGGGGGUCGAACCUCGGCACUCAAGCUAACGCGAUAAGUAAUCCGCCUGGGGAGUACGUACGCAAGUAUGAAACUCAAAGGAAUUGACGGGGACCCGCACAAGUGGUGGAGCAUGUGGUUUAAUUCGACGCAACGCGAGGAACCUUACCAGCGUUUGACAUCCUAGGAAUGAGAAAGAGAUUUCUUAGUGCUCCUUCGGGAGAACCUAGAGACAGGUGGUGCAUGGCUGUCGUCAGCCCGUGUCGUGAGAUGUUGGGUUAAGUCCCGCAACGAGCGCAACCCCUAUUGUAUGUUGCCAUCAUUAAGUUGGGCACUCAUGCGAUACUGCCUGCGAUGAGCAGGAGGAAGGUGGGGAUGACGUCAAGUCAUCAUGCCCCUUAUACGCUGGGCUACACACGUGCUACAAUGGGCAGUACAGAGAGAAGCGAAUCUGCGAGGAGGAGCAAAUCUCACAAAGCUGUUCGUAGUUCGGAUUGUACUCUGCAACUCGAGUACAUGAAGUUGGAAUCACUAGUAAUCGCAAAUCAGCUAUGUUGCGGUGAAUACGUUCUCGGGUCU